GGUGCGCGCAGGUUUCCCGACAGCCUGUUGUUUCGCGCGCGGGUACCACGCGCAGAAACCAAGCGAGAAUGAAGGGCAUGACAACUUCUUUGUUAAUUGGAACAGGCUUCUCGCUAUGUGUGUUGCGAGACUGGUGAAAAGCCCGAGAUAUAAGAUGACAAGUGUGAAGUAGAGUCGCGUUUAAUUAAAUUUUCUUUCUCCUUUGGGAACCUAGCUGUGCUCGUUCGUGAUAGCCUUCAUUUUGAACUGUAAUCAACGAAAUAACAGGCAUUUGCAGUUUUCUGUCGACCUGGAAGCGCCUUUGUGUUUGUGGAAUCGAUGCGCUGCCUGCUACACAAGAAUAGAGUGAAAACCAUAAAUAUAGUAGAGUUGACCUAAAGAUUAAAUAUUGCUGUGAAGGCUUUAGGCCUAAUAAAUGUAUGGAAGUGUCACUGAACCAGCCUAAUAGCUCAACUGAAACACUGGACACCCAUAGUGGUCACUGAACAGACACAAGCUCCACCACCACUCACCUUCAAUCAUCACCUGAGACAAGAAAAGACCAGAAAGAUCCAAAAGAAGAGAAUGAAUGGACAACAGUGUGUGGUUUUGGCCUUGAUGCAGACUAGCAGCACAGGUCAGUCCCUGCCUUGUUUCACCAGCCCUUUUCGGUGGCUCAUUUAUAAUGUCCUUGAAACUGAGUAACACUCAAAU